UGUAUAAUGGCGGGUUUUGUGAUUUGUGUGCGUUAAAGCUCUUCAAUCACGGGAAAAAAUUGAUAAUACUUGCUGCAAAAGCAGAUGUUUGCAGAGGAGAAAGGAUAGUUUAUAUUCCAGAUAAUGGACGUUUCUGAAGUGAAAAUCCAAAGAAGAGAAGACAGCGAGAAGUAGCUUUUUGUCUGUUUCAUGGUUUAUAGGCCUACUGGGGAAACUCGCCAUGUAAAAAAACGAGUAACGCAUCAAGCUUGGUACCUCUAUGGUGAUGUGGAAAUCCGAGCGUUGUUAAUAAAGAAAUUAAUUCAGUGA